CAUGUCGUGACCUAAUGGUCCGAGAGUCGGACUUGUAACCCGAAGGUUGUGGGUUCGAGUCUCGGGCCGGCAGGG